GAAUGAUCUGCAAAAUGUGGCAAUUGGACAAGCCUCUUAGGUCGUGUUGCUUGGUGAACAGUAACACCAAGUGAAAUGUGCUUAGGAGUCUUUUUCCGGCUGUUUGGUUUUCACUUUGCUGCUGGAGUCGUAACUUGUGUCUUUUAAGUCCUCUGUAAAUUUGGUACAGAUCAAAUGGAGGAGUAAAACAUACAUGGAGGGAUAACCUUUUCAGCAUGGUGAUGAUGUUAGUUCCCCAUGAAACUUGAGGGCAACUUGAUAUAACCAACCCAGUAUUUCAUAUUCUGGAUCAAUUGUCUCAUCCGAUGUAAUUUGGAUAUUGUUUGUUUCCUGAGAUGAUUGUUCAUUUGUAACAUGUUGCAAUGUUUGAAUAGCCAAUCCUGAUGAAAAGGCAGGGAACAAAAGAAGUGGUUCACGAGGAUUCAAAUGAUGUACAAAUUCUACCUGUCCAGACAAGUGUUAAAGUAUGCAGUCUUUGAAAUUCCAGCUGUGGUAUGUUCCUGGUUCUUCAUCAACUUGAGAAAGCAAGUCAGAGUAUCUUUCCCAGAUGGUAUCUAUGGGAUAUAUAUAUCUCAUCUUUCCAAGCCAUCCUUUAGUUCCUUCAUUACAGUGCCAAAGUAUACAUCACCCUGUGCAUUUCUUUGAGCAGCUGAAUGUUUCCAAAGAAAGGCUGUAUAGCAUUUGAGAUGGUACUUGACCUAUGCUGCUAUGAGAUCAUUUAUUCUAGCCACUCUGCAAUGCAUAAUGGGAUAACGUUUUGACAAACGAAUGAUCUUUUUAGAAGUUGGUUCAGUUUGAUUGUCAGUGAGCUUCGAAUUCUUCACUUCUGUCUAACAAAAUAGACAUUUAUCCCAAGACAUUUGAAACAAAUUCCAAGAGAUCACAGUAUUCCAAAAUUAAACCAGUUCUCAGGAUCACUAUCAAGCGACAAUCAGCAAUAAUGUAUUCUACCUAUAUCUCGUGAACUAACAUGUUUAUGAUCAAAGAAGGAUUUUUAUGUAGUGGUUAUACCACCAGGUUACAUCUCAUGUGACUAACUAAUUUACAUAACUUUCACAAUAUUAACAUCUAUAUGUCACCGCUAGGAGAAGCUUAUGUCAGUUUCAACUUCAUAAUACAAACAUUCUCAAAUUCAAUGUGCUCUAGCUAGAAGGUACCAAUAGUAAUCUGGAAGAUGAAAGCUCCAGAAAAGAAGCCUUUAGUUCGAAAAGAAAUAUUUUUGGAAGUACAUCAAAAACUUCACCACAGAGACCACAAAAAAGAAGUUCCAGCAGUAAAAGCUCUAAGCGAGUUCCAUAGUUUUAAAGAGUUAUCUGAAGCAUAGUUAGAUCUUUUAUGAUUUCUUUAGUCGUAAGUUGGCAACUGAAUACUUUCAUUAGUUUAUCAUUUCAUUGCACAAUGUUUUUGAUUGUACUUUAAAUAUUUUGCUAUACAAUGAGUAUU